rnacentral:lncRNA from 1 species
UUUUCACUUGCAUGCAUCUUGCAAGCUCCUUUCUGAGGUGAGCAACCCACAAAUAUUCAGUAUUUGGAGCUAGAGGAAAUG